rfam:Flavobacterium spartansii strain MST NODE_10_length_137066_cov_49.0551, whole genome shotgun sequence.
CCCUAGCCCCGAUAGUAGUGGAAAUCCUUUUGAUUUUUCCUUUAAAAAGCAAAAGAUUGAAGCGGAUAGCGGGAUAAAGC